rnacentral:rRNA from 1 species
UGAGGAAUAUUGGUCAAUGGUCGGGGAGACUGAACCAGCCAAGCCGCGUGAGGGAUGAAGGUGCUAAGCAUUGUAAAACCUCUUUUGUCGGGGAGCAAUAAGGCGUACGCGUACGCAGAUGCGAGUACCCGAAGAAAAAGCAUCGGCUAACUCCGUGCC